AUGUGGAAAUUGAGGCUCAUAAAGGUUAACAUCCCCAAAUAAGGGUCUACAUCCAAAUCCUACGCUCUUAAGUCCUGUAUUGUCUCCCAAAUGAAGAGGGGCUUCUCGUUAAAAUGACCUGGAAGUGGCAUAGGGAGCUAAAGAUGAUAAAAACCUGUCUCCUGGCUUUGGCUUAUGAGGAGAUAGUAUCAGAUCCCACAGGUUUGAUUCUACAAGACUGCCCCAACUUCAGAUGCUGACUGCAAACCCCAGGCUGUGGCCUGAUCAGCUGGCUAUAAAUUGGACUUCCAACGACCCCCACCUUGAAUUCUAUUGAUUUGCUGGAGCAGCUCACAGAACUUGGGGAAACACUUUAUUUACCUCUACUCAUUUAUUAUAAAGAAAGGAUACAAAGAGCCAGAUGGAAGAUAUGCAUAAGGGAAGAUGCUGCACCCCACCAGGAAGAACAUUAGAUUAUACUAUGCCCACAUUAAUUACUUUCCCCCUCAUCACCUUAGAAAAUACUUUCAUUUUUCAGUAUUGUGUGGACACCUGUGAGCUGGUUGUUUUGGAAAAGGAAAAACCCAACCAAUUAAAAUGGACUGCUCUGUUAAAGAACAUAACAUGAUCAGGGAAGAUGGCAAGUAUUUAUUUGUUUUUAAAAAUAAGCCUGUGGAGAGAUGGAGGUGAUUCUGACUAUCAAAUGUUUUACAAAGAUAUUCAGAAAAUCAUUUAUAUUUUGUCUGUGAAUAAAUUGUAAUUACAC